AGUGAACGCUGGCGGUAGGCCUAACACAUGCAAGUCGAACGGCAGCACAGGAGAGCUUGCUCUCUGGGUGGCGAGUGGCGGACGGGUGAGGAAUACAUCGGAAUCUACUCUGUCGUGGGGGAUAACGUAGGGAAACUUACGCUAAUACCGCAUACGACCUACGGGUGAAAGCAGGGGACCUUCGGGCCUUGCGCGAUUGAAUGAGCCGAUGUCGGAUUAGCUAGUUGGCGGGGUAAAGGCCCACCAAGGCGACGAUCCGUAGCUGGUCUGAGAGGAUGAUCAGCCACACUGGAACUGAGACACGGUCCAGACUCCUACGGGAGGCAGCAGUGGGGAAUAUUGGACAAUGGGCGCAAGCCUGAUCCAGCCAUACCGCGUGGGUGAAGAAGGCCUUCGGGUUGUAAAGCCCUUUUGUUGGGAAAGAAAUCCAGCUGGCUAAUACCCGGUUGGGAUGACGGUACCCAAAGAAUAAGCACCGGCUAACUUCGUGCCAGCAGCCGCCGUAACAC
rnacentral:rRNA from 1 species